AUAAACUUUGAUAAUAAGAUACCCAUAUUAUCCGCCAGGGAACUACAAGCGCAUUGCUCGAAACCCAACGGACUUGGCGGUGCCCCACACCCACCUAGAGGAGCCUGUUCUGUAACUGACAAUCCCCGUUUAACCUCACCACCCCUAGCUUAAUCAGUCUAUAUACCACCGUCGUAAGCUCACCCUGUGAAGGCCCAAUAGUAAGCAAGAUGGGCACAACCCAACACGUCAGGUCGAGGUGUAGCACAUGGGGCGGGAAGAAAUGGGCUACAUUUUCUGNCCAACAGAAUACCAACGAAUAACGACAUGAAACUGUCGUUUAAAGGAGGAUUUAGCAGUAAAAAGAAAAUAGAGAGUUCUUUUGAAGCCG
rnacentral:rRNA from 1 species